AAGAUUUGCUCUUUUCUCUGUCAGCUCCUGCUAUCACAGAGGAAACCACACUGCAUCUGGAAGACAUCAUUAAGCAGAGAAUUAAAGACCAGGCGUUUGAUGACGUGGUACGAAAGGAGAAGCCCAAAGAGGAAGUGUUUGAGUACAAGAAGAGACUAACGUUAGACCAUGAGAAGAGCAAGCUGAGUCUAGCAGAAAUUUAUGAACAGGAAUACCUCAAGCAGACACAGACAAAGACAGAGGAAGAGGAUAAUCCAGCCCAUGUCGAAAUCCAAAAACUGAUGGACGCACUCUUCUUAAA